GCGAGUCUGCCUUGAAAGAUCGGAGUGCUUGCACUCUGUGAAAACAAGAUACAGGCUAGCGGCGGAACGGGUGAGUAACACGUGGGGUAAACCCUGCCCCAAAGAGAUCCGGGAUAACACCUGGGGAAACAGAUGCUAAUACCGGAUAACAACAGAUGAUGCCUAUCAACUGUUUAAAAGAUGGUUCUGCUAUCACUCUUGGGAUGGGACCUGCGGUGCAUUAGCUAGUUGGUAGGGUAAUGGGCCUACCAAGGCGAUGAUGCAUAGCCCGAGUUGAGAGACUGAUCGGGCCACAUUGGGGACUGAGACACGGGCCCAAAACUCCUACGGGGAGGCAGCAGUAGGGAAUCUUCCACAAUGGACGCAAGUCUGAUGGAGCAACGCCGCGUGAGUGAAGAAGGGUUUCGGCUCGUAAAGCUCUGUUGUUGGUGAAGAAGGACAGGGGUAGUAACUGACCUUUGUUUGACGGUAAUCAAUUAGAAGUCACGGCUAACUACGUGCCAGCAGCCGCGGUAAU
rnacentral:rRNA from 1 species